CCGGCUCCUCCGCGCCUCGCGGGCUGCCAGGAUCCCCGGUCUCGGCGCCUCUGGUGCCGGGAGCGCCGGCUGCGGCCGCGGACGGAGACGGCGGCGGCGGAGGCACCGACUCGAGCUUCACCAGGGUCAGCGAGAUGAGCUCUGCUGUCUGCGAAGGCGGUGCAAAAUCCUGGACUGGAUUGCCCUACCAAAUCCUGGUCUGGAUUUCCUGGAACUUGGACUCACCUACUCCAGCAAUUUAGCCCCCUCCCCUAGCACAGCACCGUUAGGGAGCACGACUGUUAGGAGAGACAUCUAAGGACAAGGAUAAAAAUCAUUCUAUGGGUGGACAGUCGCAGCGAAAACGGAGCAAAUUCGGGGUCAUUGCCAAUUCUGGGGAAGCUGAAGUGGAAAAGUGGGGAGCCCUGAAAUCCAUUUCCCAGGACCCCUUGUCUCCUCGAGGGAACCUGAGCUGCUCUGGGAACCCUCACUGCCCGAUCCUCCUUCACGGGCUCACUGUCCACUUCCCCGGUCACUUUUCUUCUCGCCCAACACCGGCCUUCGAUUUGGAUUACCAACCCCUCUCCAAAGACGAUGAUCCUUAUUGAACCUGGAACACGCAUCGCCAC